AGAGUCGUGGGUUGCCAUCAGAGCGCACAUACAUCAGACAGACCUGGCGCACACAAAAGUCACUUUUGCCAGGUGAUUUGUGGACUGGCUCUGUGAUUUACCAACUCUCCACUAGAUGCUACACCAAGACCAGCAAACCUUUAAUGAAAUCCAAUCAAGUUUAAGUGUUUGGAAAUCUGGAAUGGAGCCACCACUGAAAGCAAACACUGGUUGUGCUGAUGGAGCAGCUCCAUUGAGUUACCCUGCAUAACACAUUCCACAAACCUCUUCAGUGAUAUGGAAGUGGGAGAUAUUUUAGGACUCAAGCAACAAACUUGGAUCUAAAGUCAGAGGGACAUUCAGAAGCGGAGGACAAAGGCAGGCAAUCAGGCAGGCAGCAUCAUGGAUCUGAGCAGUUGUUGCACUUGGAAAUGCAACUGAUGUUGUCCCCCUUUAAUCAGCAUUCUUAUGAAUGAUUUUCCCUACUGAGAGCUGAAAUAGGCCCAGGAUGCAUACUACAUGUGUGGGAUGUGCUUGAGGAAUUCAGCAUGAUCUAGAAGUCAGUGGAACUGGAUUCAAAUCCCAGCUCUGCAUAAUGGCAGGCAAGUCAGUCCCCCUCUGUAGGUCUCAAUUUCCUCUUUUAUCUGAUCUCUAAGGUCCCUGCUAGCUUAAAAUCAUAUAAUCCCAAUAUCAGAUGAAAUAAAAUAUGAUUAUGAAGGCA
rnacentral:lncRNA from 1 species